rnacentral:lncRNA from 1 species
UGCUAUUUAACCUGACUUUUCAGGAAAUGUAGGAACCAGCAGGUUGGAAGAGCAUAACAGGCAAAGAGCACAGCUUGGGCAAAGACCCAGAGGUGUAAAAGAGGGUGGACCAUUCAGGAAAUUGUCUCCGUUAGGACAGUGUUCAGCUGCAGGUAACAGAACAUCCACCUUAAACUGACUUGAACAGUGAAGAGGAGUGACUGAUUCAUGUAACUGAAGAUGCAGAAAUAACAUGUGAAAAUAAACAAAAGUAAGUUUUGUGCCUUUAAAUUGGCCUCCUGCCUGCUGAUCAGGGCCGUGCUCAGAGGACACUGCACUCAGGGGCUGAAAGUCAAGACUCUUGAAACCCACUGAGUCCCAGGCCUUUCCUGGCAGGAGGCAGCAGCCUGCCAGCUGCUGUGCCCUGGGUAGGCAGGAGCGUCCCAAGAUGAAUUGCCACUGAGAGAAGCUGUUGGGGGCUGACUGCAGGCCUUGAGAACUUUAUCAAGAUGUCAUCAGCUAAACCAGGAAAGCUGCCCCGCCACCAGCCGCGCCCCUCUGAUUCUGACUGACGUGUCAGGACACUGACAUGUCCCCAGCUCCACUCGGGCAUCAAGUGUUCACUUCAGAUGGCCUGCUGGUGACAAGGCACAAACCAGCCUGGAGAUAGUGAGAGAGGC